GUGUGUGUGUGUGUGCAUAUUGCUAUAUUAUAAGUAUGUAAGAAAUUAAAAUGUAAAAUGGAAUGCCAAACUUGUCUGCCUUCUGUGGCUCUGUGAUGUCUUGUUGCCACAGUAACAGAAAUUACAGCUUUUAAAAACACAACAAAAAAUUCUGGCCUAGAGAGCUACAAGUAGGUCCAGAUCUAUGUCCAUAAUUUUUGUAUUUCAUUUAGUAAUGAUGAUCAUCAGUAAGACCUAUGACCUGACUUACUGUUCUUCAGAUUCACGGUCUUGGAAAGCUUCUAGAUCCAUCACAGUGCAAGAAAUUGUAACUAUCUUCCCUGGUUGAGCUACCUCCUCACAGACCAAGGGUGAUUCUAGACUAUUGUUAUAUUCAGGUGGGAUUCAAUCACACAUCAGUGAGUUCAAGCUGUGAAUUGUAGCUUAGGAGGAGGAGGUCUUGCACCGUCCCCGAAGAUUGGACUUUUGUGAUGACUGACAAAGUGACUGACAAAUGCAGCAGGAAAUGUUGGGUAACACUUGCUUUGAUAGUGUCAUCUAACCUCCCUGCAAACAAAUCAGGAUAACUGCAUGAUAAACAGGUUGUCUGAAAGCACUCCCAGUCCAGGCAGUGUAAGCCAUUAUUUAUUCCUUACAUUUUCAUCCUGCCAUUCCCCUAAAUUGCUCAGUAUGGGAUAAGUUUCUGCCCCGUCACCACUCUUUUACCCUCACAAGCACCCUGUGAGGUAAGUUGGGCUGAGAGAUUAUGACUGGUCCAAAGUCACCCAGGGAAUUUCACACAUGAAUGGGUAUUUCAAGCAGUGUCUCCCUAAGUCAUAGCUCGACAGUAUAGCCAUCAGGCCCAUGCAGAGGCGGGGGGGGGGCAGCUGGGUACACUUGCCCCAGGCCUCAGAGGACAAAGCCUGCCAGAUUUACUGCUGUCAUGCCAAUAACAAAACUCCUGCCCUGGACUUCAGAUGACAUGGGGUGUGUGUGUAGUUACACACAUGUUGUUGUUGUUGUUUAGUCGUUUAGUCAUGUCCGACUCUUCAUGACCCCAUGGACCAGAGCACGCCAGGCACUCCUGUCUUCCACUGCCUCCCGCAGUUUGGUCAGACUCAUAUUCGUAGCUUCGAGAACACUGUCCAACCAUCUCGUCCUCUGUCGUCCCCUUCUCCUUCUUCUUGCAGUCCAUGGGACUCUCAAGAGUCUCCUCCAGCACCAUAAUUCAAAAGCAUCAAUUCUUCGGCGAUCAGCCUUCUUUAUGGUUCCAGCUCUCACUUCCAUACAUCACUACUGGGAAAACCAUAGCUUUAACUAUACGGACCUUUGUCGGCAAAGUGAUGUCUCUGCUUUUUAAGAUGCUGUCUAGGUUUGUCAUUGCUUUUCUCCCAAGAAGCAGGCGUCUUUUAAUUUCGUGACUGCUGUCACCAUCUGCAGUGAUCAUGUGGAUCACACACAUAUUGGGCGUGCCUAAAACAGUCACUGUCUGUAGAACAUUAUAUUGUACUUGGUUUCCAGAAUCCACAUUGGUUCUGUUUAAAAGUGCUAAACCUGUCCUUUACAACUCUGCGUCUCCAUAGCGGUGGACACUUUUCUUGCAUGCAGUGACAAUCUUUAAUAAAAGCUGCUUUUUGCCUUCAAUUUUACACCACCUGUGCACAAAAUAUAAUAAACACAGCAGGCAGGGAGAUAAUUAUAGUGGCUGCCUGAUGCUUGUGGUACUCAGUUUCCCUUGAGGUACAUAAAACUCUGAACCUGAUUAUUUCCAAAAAGUGCUGUAAGUACUUUUGCAGGGUAGAGGGUGAUAGACUGGGAUUUAGCGAUUAGUGGAUUUUUAAUUUGUUUUGGUACACCGUGUUUUGUUUUGCUUUUACUCACUUUGUUGGGUGUUUUAAAAGUGCUCUGAUCAUUCCUCAGCUCUCGGAAUAGUCAAGCAAAGGUCAUGUUUUCUUUUUAUGGCACAAGAAUAGUCACUGGCUGCCUGGGAUUUUUGCAGAAACACUCAUUUUAUCGAUUUUUUGCUUGUCGGAGACAUAGUAGAUGAUACUGAAAUUUAAUUUAAGCUUUGAUCUGCUGCAAAUAUAUAUAUAUAUAUAUACACUGUGCUUAUUUACUUGGCACUGCCUUUGAGAUUACAUAGCCUUUGCAAAAAGACGUGAUGUGAAAACCUUAUAGGAGGGAAUAAAAGAGUGUAAUCCAUAUGGAAUCUCCUGCCCUUAGAAGUUAACAGCCUGCAUAUUGUGCAUUACAAUGGGGCUUGCAAAAGAGAAUGUCCUGGUGGAUAUGCUCGAAGUAAUUGCAUUUCUUUUAUCUGUUUGAUUAAAAUGUUUAAACAGGAGUGAGGAACCUCUGGUCCAGGACACAUGUGACUUCCCAGACCUCUCUACAUCGCCUCAGGCCAUACCCUGAGAACAUCUUGGCUGUCUCUUAGCGCAGACCCAGGUCAUUGAGCCUGAGCUUCCACAGCCUCCAACCCAUGGUGGACAGAUGUGGACAUCUGCGGGAGCCUCUGACUUUGUGUGACUGGAAUGUAGCUUCCUGUACAGAGAAGACAUCGAGGCUGCCUCAAUGGAUAUAAGAAACUGGUUCCAAAAAGGUAAGUUAAGUAAUUUCUGUUGAAAAUUAAAUUUUAAAGGGUAAAGACCUGGCUCAGAAGUACAAUGGUAGAGGACAGACUGACUGGGUUUUGUUUGAUGAGCGUCCAUGGAAAUUAUUCAAGGAAAAUCAGGACUGGAUUGAAACGAAAGUUUUGAACAAAUUUUCUUCAAACCCAAGAAAAAUGAUAUUAGUAUAAGACAUGUAACUAGAAUAAAAAUUAAGUUUUUUAAAGCAAAUAAUUGUAAUAACUACCGUAACA